CUUCAACAAUUCUUGGCCCUUUGGGAGAAGCUAGUGACCAUGACCAUUCAGCCGGGUGUACACGACUCUAUCGUGUGGAAGUCAACCAAUGAUGGACAAUACUCUGCAAAGUCUGCUUACUUGGCAUGGUUUCAUGACCUCUCGCACUCAAGUUUGGCUGCUAUGGUCUGGAAGGCGUGGGCUCCCCCCAAAUGCAAAUUUUUCGCCUGGCUUGUUAUCCAAAACAGAGUUUGGACGGUUGAUAGGCUUAAGAGGAGAAGAUGGCCCAAUUGCGACAAAUGCCCACUCUGCAGUCAGGUGCAAGAAUCUGCAACACACCUGCUCUUCAAGUGCCACUUCUCUAUUCGGAUGUGGAAUGCAGUCUUCUCAUGGCUUGGGCUUGCUAUCCCCACAGCCCCGUGA
rnacentral:rRNA from 1 species